rnacentral:rRNA from 1 species
GACGAACGCUGGCGGCGUGCUUAACACAUGCAAGUCGAACGGAGUGGCGAACGGGUGAGUAACACGUGGGUGACCUGCCCUGCACUUCGGGGUAAUCCUGGGAAACUGGGUCUAAUACCGGAUAGUGUGGGAUGGGCCCGGGGCCUAUCGGCUUGUUGGUGGGGUAAUGGCCUACCAAGGCGGCGACGGGUAGCCGGCCUGAGAGGGGGGACGGCCACAUUGGGACUGAGACACGGCCCAGAGGCCUACGGGGGGCAGCAGUGGGGAAUAUUGCACAACGGGGGGAAGCCUGAUGCAGCGACGCCGCGUGUGGGAUGACGGCCAUCGGGGUGUAAACUCCUUUAACCAUCGACGCGGUAGAUGGAGAAGAAGCACCGGCUAACUACGUGCCAGCCGCCGCGGUAAUUC